UAUUUAAUUAAUAAAUUAAAAUAUUUUUUGUAAUUAAUGAUUUUAUAAAAAUAAUUUAUUUUUUUUUGUUUUAGUAUUAAGUUAAAAUUAAUUUUAAGAUUUAUAGAUUAUUAGUAUUGUGAAAGAAAUUUUUUAAAUUUUAAAAAGAUUAAUUUUAGUACCUUUUGUAUCAGGGUUAAUUAAAAUUUUUAAUUAAUAUUUAAUUUCUCAAAAUUUACAGAGUUAAUUUUAUUAUUAAUUUAUUGUUUUAUAAAUAUUUAAAAAAUAAUUUUAGUUUAAAAAUUUAAUUCGUUGUAUUAUUUUUAGUUAUUUAAGAUUUAAAUUUAAUUUAUAAUUUUAAAAGUUAUAUUAAUUUUUUUUAUAUUAAUAUUUUAGAUUUAGAUUAUUUUAGGGAUAAGCUUAAAAUUUUUAUAUAAUAAUUAGAUUUAAAUUAAAUAUUUUAUAGAAAUAGAAAUUUUUAUUUAAAGUUUGUAAAAAUUUAUUAUUUAUUUUAAUUUUAAUUUAUUAUAAUUUAUUUAUUUUUUAUAUUAAAUUAUAUAAUUAAAUUAUUUAAUUAUAAAAAUAAUGAUUAAAUUAGUAUAAUUUUUUUUUAUUAAUUAUGAAUUUGGCAAAUAUUAUUUUCAUCUGUUUAACAAAAACAUUGUAUUAAGAUUAAUUUAAUAUAGAAUCUGCUCAAUGAUAAUAAUUUAAAUAGCUGCAGUAUUUUGACUGUGCAAAGGUAGCAUAAUAAUUAGUCUUUUAAUUGAAGAAUAGAAUGAAAGAUUUGAUGAAAAAUAAACUUUAUUAUUAAUAUAAUUAAAAUUUUAUUUUUAAGUAAAAAAGCUUAAAUAUUUUAAAGGGACGAUAAGACCCUAUAAAACUUUAUAAUUAUUAUUUAUUUAUUUAUUUAGUAAAUAAUAAUUUAAAUUUUAAUAAUUAUUUUAUUGGGGUGAUAAAAAAAUUUUUUUAACUUUUUUUAAAAAUUAACAUUAAUUAUUGAUUAUUUGAAUUAAAAUUUUUAUUUAAAAGAAAAAGUUACUUUAGGGAUAACAGCGUAAUUAAUUUUUUAAGUUCAAAUUUUAAAAUUAGU
rnacentral:rRNA from 1 species